AGUGAACGCUGGCGGUAGGCCUAACACAUGCAAGUCGAACGGCAGCACAGGAGAGCUUGCUCCUUGAUUUAGCGGCGGACGGGUGAGUAAUGCCUAGGAAUCUGCCUGGUAGUGGGGGAUAACGUCCGGAAACGGGCGCUAAUACCGCAUACGUCCUACGGGAGAAAGCAGGGGACCUUCGGGCCUUGCGCUAUCAGAUGAGCCUAGGUCGGAUUAGCUAGUUGGUGAGGUAAUGGCUCACCAAGGCGACGAUCCGUAACUGGUCUGAGAGGAUGAUCAGUCACACUGGAACUGAGACACGGUCCAGACUCCUACGGGAGGCAGCAGUGGGGAAUAUUGGACAAUGGGCGAAAGCCUGAUCCAGCCAUGCCGCGUGUGUGAAGAAGGUCUUCGGAUUGUAAAGCACUUUAAGUUGGGAGGAAGGGCAGUAAGCUAAUACCUUGCUGUUUUGACGUUACCGACAGAAUAAGCUCCGGCUAACUUCGUGCCAGCCGCCGCCGUAAAAC
rnacentral:rRNA from 1 species